CCUACGGGAGGCAGCAGUGGGGAAUUUUGGACAAUGGGCGCAAGCCUGAUCCAGCAAUGCCGCGUGCAGGAUGAAGGCCUUCGGGUUGUAAACUGCUUUUGUACGGAACGAAACGGUCUGCCCUAAUACGGUGGGCUAAUGACGGUACCGUAAGAAUAAGCACCGGCUAACUACGUGCCAGCAGCCGCGGUAAUACGUAGGGUGCGAGCGUUAAUCGGAAUUACUGGGCGUAAAGCGUGCGCAGGCGGUUAUGUAAGACAGAUGUGAAAUCCCCGGGCUCAACCUGGGACCUGCAUUUGUGACUGCAUAGCUAGAGUACGGUAGAGGGGGAUGGAAUUCCGCGUGUAGCAGUGAAAUGCGUAGAUAUGCGGAGGAACACCGAUGGCGAAGGCAAUCCCCUGGACCUGUACUGACGCUCAUGCACGAAAGCGUGGGGAGCAAACAGGAUUAGAUACCCUGGUAGUCCACGCCCUAAACGAUGUCAACUGGUUGUUGGGUCUUCACUGACUCAGUAACGAAGCUAACGCGUGAAGUUGACCGCCUGGGGAGUCGGCCGCAAGGUUGAAACGUCAAAUGAAUUGACGGCUGGAGAGNGCGACGGCGACGACGAGGGAGGAGG
rnacentral:rRNA from 1 species